rnacentral:rRNA from 1 species
CGGCAAGCCUGAUGCAGCGACGCCGCGUGAGGGAUGACGGCCUUCGGGUUGUAAACCUCUUUCAGCAGGGAAGAAGCGCAAGUGACGGUACCUGCAGAAGAAGCACCGGCUAACUACGUGCCAGCAGCCGCGGUAAUACGUAGGGUGCGAGCGUUGUCCGGAAUUAUUGGGCGUAAAGAGCUUGUAGGCGGUUUGUCGCGUCUGCCGUGAAAAUCCGGGGCUCAACCCCGGACUUGCGGUGGGUACGGGCAGACUAGAGUGUGGUAGGGGAGACUGGAAUUCCUGGUGUAGCGGUGAAAUGCGCAGAUAUCAGGAGGAACACCGAUGGCGAAGGCAGGUCUCUGGGCCACUACUGACGCUGAGGAGCGAAAGUGUGGGGAGCGAACAGGAUUAGAUACCCUGGUAGUCCACACCGUAAACGUUGGGCGCUAGGUGUGGGAUCCAUUCCACGGGUUCCGUGCCGCAGCUAACGCAUUAAGCGCCCCGCCUGGGGAGUACGGCCGCAAGGCUA